GGUUCGACUCGAGCGAAGCGAGAGAACGUUGCGCCAGCAACGGCCCGCAGGGCGAGCCACGAAGUGGCGAGUAAUCCUCUAUCACCGACCA
rnacentral:sRNA from 1 species